UACGUAGGUGGCAAGCGUUGUCCGGAUUUACUGGGCGUAAAGAGCGCGCAGGCGGUCGUGCAAGUCGCGUGUGAAAGCCCCCGGCUCAACUGGGGAGGGUCACGCGAUACUGCUCGACUCGAAGGCAGGAGAGGGAAGUGGAAUUCCCGGUGUAGUGGUGAAAUGCGUAGAUAUCGGGAGGAACACCAGUGGCGAAGGCGACUUCCUGGCCUGUUCUUGACGCUGAGGCGCGAAAGCUAGGGGAGCGAAC
rnacentral:rRNA from 1 species